UGAACGCCUCUAAGUCAGAAUCCAUGGUGGAAGGCUCGGCAUUUAUGUCUCCGGACGAUACACGCUAACGAUAACUUUGUCGAGAGCGCUAUUCACCGAAAUUCCGAUUGUACGGAGACGUGAAUCCCUUGUAGACGACUUGGAUACGCCACAGGGUGAUGUAAGGUGUAGAGCAUCCUUGCUGAUGCGAUCAUCUGAGUCUCA
rnacentral:rRNA from 1 species